rnacentral:misc_RNA from 1 species
AAGACUAUAGACCUGCGGAGUACCUGCGGAGGGAUCAUUACAUGGCGGAGGAGGUGGGCACCUAGUAAAAACAAAACCCUAGGUGUGUUGCCUACCACGCUUUCUACCCUUGUCUAUUUGCACCUUUUGUCGUUCCCUCGGUGGGUCUUGAACCUGCCGGCGGCAACUUUCAAAAACCUUUUGUAGUUAGUAUCUAAUUCUUCUGAUCAAAUAUUCAAUCGUUACAACUUUUAGCAACGG